rnacentral:rRNA from 1 species
CCGCGGUAAUACGAAGGAUGCAAGCGUUAUCCGGAAUUAUUGGGUUUAAAGGGUGCGUAGGCGGACUAAUAAGUCAGUGGUGAAAGCCUGCAGCUUAACUGCAGAAUUGCCAUUGAUACUGUUAGUCUUGAGUACAGUUGAGGUAGGCGGAAUGUGUCAUGUAGCGGUGAAAUGCUUAGAUAUGACACAGAACACCGAUUGCGAAGGCAGCUUGCUAAGCUGUAACUGACGCUGAGGCACGAAAGCGUGGGGAGCAAACA